rnacentral:rRNA from 1 species
UACGGGGGGGGGGGCAAGCGUUUGUUCGGAAUUACUGGGCGUAAAGCGCGCGUAGGCGGCUCUUCAAGUCGAGUGUGAAAGCUCCAGGCUUAACCUGGGAAUUGCGCUCGAUACUGUUGAGCUAGAGUGCGGAAGAGGCGAGUGGAAUUCCUGGUGUAGCGGUGAAAUGCGCAGAUAUCGGAAGGAACAUCAGUGGCGAAGGCGACUUCCUGGACCAAUACUGACGCUCAGGUGCGAAAAGCGUGGGGGAGCAAAACAGGGAUUAGAAAACCCCGGG